GAAAGUGAUGGUUGAAUCAUUGUUAAAGAUUGAGGAAUUUGGAAGAUGAAUGAAACUGAAAAUUUGGGAAUCCAUGCGCGCAAAGAGUGAAAUUGGUAAAGUGAAAGCGAAAAAAAUUAGUGUCCAUACCUAAGGAAUUUUUUAAAAAAAUCUUGAUUCUUUUAGCCACGGUUAUACUAUGACAAAUGACUGAAAUGCCC
rnacentral:lncRNA from 1 species